UACGGAGGGGGCUAGCGUUGUUCGGAAUUACUGGGCGUAAAGCGCGCGUAGGCGGACCUGCAAGUCGGGGGUGAAAGCCCGAGGCUCAACCUCGGAACUGCCUUCGAUACUGCGGGUCUCGAGUCCGGGAGAGGUGAGUGGAAUUCCUAGUGUAGAGGUGAAAUUCGUAGAUAUUAGGAAGAACACCAGUGGCGAAGGCGGUUCUCUGGGACGGUACUGACGCUGAGACGCGAAAGCGUGGGGAGCGAACAGG
rnacentral:rRNA from 1 species